CUUUGUUGUGUGGACAUAUAAAAGAGCCAUGGGUUCUCCCUCAUGAUGACCCUGAGCUGUUAGUGAGCUAAUUGCUAAAUCUGAAAACAGUCAUGUCUCUGUCUUGAAGGAAACACAGAAGAAAAACAGAACUACUGAAUAAAAUGUAGUUCAAAACUGGUAGGCAAGACCUCCUCAUCUUUUUUUUUCUGCCAUUAACAAAAAUGAUCUUGUUCCUUUUGCAGUCACCAAUGCAGUCUUCUCAAUAACAACCAACGGCAGUACAUCCAAAGAGAAAGAGUUGCUGAGAUAUUCUCACAGUAAGGAUGAAACCACAAACAUAAAAAAUCAUCAUAUGCUUGUGUGAGGAGAAAGGCUGUGCACCAGAAUUGAGCAAAUAGUAGCUGACAAUAAAGUCCCAGAGCAUCCUCAGUAGUCCUGAGUCAAGCAAAUCCAACUCAAGUUCAAGCUACCAACAAUCCUUGAGAAGGGUGACUUCAGGGACCUUACCAGAAGAGCAGUGAUGAGUUACUACUACAAAAACAACAUGAAGGCUGCUGGGCCCCAUCCCUGUUUGGGGCACAUACACUGCUUCUGCUGCAGACCUUCAAGGGACAUCUGUGCUCUGGUAGGGAUGUGA
rnacentral:lncRNA from 1 species